rnacentral:lncRNA from 1 species
GUUUACUAUAUAAUUUUUUUAACUUUAAUAUGCUAAAAAUGCCAUAAAAAUGUCAAACAUAAUAGCAAAAAAAAGAAAGUAUUCGUAACUCUUGUGACAGCUCCUUGAUAUUUUUCAGCAUGAAAUAGCUUUUAUAAAUUAAGAGAGAACACAGAAAAAAAUCGGCAAAGGACAGGAAAAAAAGUAUACAUGUACAAAAAGUAUAUGAAAAAAAGAACAACCUUACUAAAAACAUAAGGAAUUAAACAUUAAUAAGACAAAAUGAAUGCCAUUUUCUUCUGUUAACUUGGCAAACAAUUUGCAAAUGAAUGACCGAGACUCCUGUACCUCCCAGGCGUGUGAAAAUUUGCAAAAACUUCCCUGGAAAGAAAUUCAGUGAUUUGAUUUGCAUCUUGAAAUAAAAGCCAUGCCCUUUGGCCAAAUGACUUUAGCACAAAUACUGUUUGCUCAGGAAAUAAUUUUGUGAUCAUAGGCGAGACUACAGCAAGAGGGAAGAAACAUGUAGGAUAAUGGGAAAUCGCCACAACGGUCAGACACUCCGUGUGGAAUUCACAGACUCUGUAAGGAUCAACCUACUAAGGCCUUCAGAUGGCUUCAAGCAUUCUUUAGAGUAUCCCCCCUUCUACUGCAUGAUGGGAAGGGCCCAAGAAUAAUGGCCCUCAGUAACUAAGGCACAAGUCAACCCAGAGUGGACAUCCAAGGGAGUGAAGACCAGCAUCAUAAGCAUCUCAGAUCCUUUGAGUCCAAUUCCAUUCUGGCCCUUUGGGGCUACUCUCAACCCCCAGCAGCCCUAAAAGACCCCUGCAGUCAUUCUGGAGAAGAGGCCGAAUUUCCCAAGAGCCAGAGAAAUCCUCAGGAACCGAGAAGGAUUUAUGCAAGCAUCGUGUGGAAUAUAGUAAGAAAUUUUGCAGGAAAGCUUUGUUGAGAGAAAGGCCAUCUCCUGAAGACUGUGCGUUCAGCUGUGCCACGGCGAUGAUUCAGCACUUUCACGCAACACCCCACAGCUUUCUUUGUCAGGAAAGCAUAUGGACAACACUGUUUGAUGUGAGGCACAGUCAGCAGAUUCAAUAA